rnacentral:lncRNA from 1 species
CAAUUAGUUUAUUUCAAAGAAAUACCCAGGUGUUGUUUGACCUUCAAACACAUGGACUGCUGGAGUCAAUGAAAGUCUCAUCUGUUCCCAUAAUGCCAAGGGAACUGGAUGGGAAAAUGGGAACAGUGUUUCAUGAAAUUCAAAUGACCUCGUAGGAUGGUUGGGACAUCUGUGCUUCAUGACUAAGAACUGAGACUCCCAGUGCCCCCUGGGUCUUGUCAUGGGCUCAUGGGCCGUGUGUCUGGCCUCCACUCAUCUGGUUGCCUCUUUAGCACUUUUACAAUUGCCCUCAGAGAUUGCAGAAAACGGGACUGGACAACUUGGAGCCCAAACACAGUUUCCAAGACCUAAAUCCCUGCCCCCUGUGGUGAUCCUAAGAGAUGCUGUGGAAUGCGAACUCUACCAACAAAGCCAAUCAGCUUUGUUCUGUGAAAGAGUUCUCUAACAACCACGAAUCAUUAGGCAUCAGAAGGAAAGGGCCAAUUUUCCUGCUGUAAAACCAGCUUUUCAUGAAAAUAGACAUCCUUGAUGUCAUGGGUAGAAUUAAAUGACCUGAAU